CCUGUCUGUACUGCAGCUUACUCGUGCCUUAUAUGGAGAACACUGAAGGAUUAUUAUGAGGAACACAGGAGAUAAAUGCAUGUAAAACAUUUUACACUCCAUUUGGCACAAAUUCAGCAUCCAGUAACUCUUCACUGCUACCCCUAGGCAAGAUACUUAAUAUUUGCCAUGUAAUAAGUGCUCAAAGGGAUUGGGGGCAGGAGGAGAAGGGGAUGACAGAGGAUGAGAUGGCUGGAUGGCAUCACCGACUCCAUGGGCAUGAGUUUGAGUAAACUCCGGGAGUUGGUGAUGGACAGGGACGCCUGGCAUGCUGCGAUUCAUGGGGUCGCAAAGAGUCGGACACAACUGAGCGACUGAACUGAACUGAAGUGCUCAAAAAAUGGUGCCAGGACGAAGAUGACUCAACAGAAGUAAAGAACCAAGGAAUCCAGGGCAGUGUCAGAUCUGAAAAAGCAAUCCCAGCACCAGUUCCUUGUCUCACACUGGCUUGGCAACUUCACGUCUCUCUAAAGUAGAAAGGAAAAUCAAGUCAAACGGGCUUUCCUGAAACAUGGCGUGAAACACCACAUGUCACCUUUGCUCCUGGAGGAGACGCUAAAGUACUUGUUGAGGGGGGAAGAGAUGAUCCUGAAGAGAAAGCUGCAUAAAGUAUUUCCUGGUUGAAAAGGCUCUGGAAUCAAAGUCUGGAGUUUGAAUCUCAACUCUGAAGUGCAUCAGUUGUGUGACCUUAGGAGCAUCAUGGUGACUUUCCUGUCCACUUCUCACCACGGAAUGCCUGGUAGGGGUGGAAGAGUGGAGGCGAGUUGGGAAAGUUCACAGUUCACAGCUUUCUAGGCCCAGAGGAGCUGCAGUCACAUCUGAGCAUGAUUCAGGGACUCUGGGCUGGUUUUGUGACUUGCAUGAAGAAACAGAAUGUGAUGGAUGUGAAGCUGUGUGACUUUCAGCUUUUUGAAAAAUAAUUAAAAGUCCUGAUUUAGAGCAUUUGCCAAUUUCUAAGAAUCUGCCUGAAAUGCAGAAGACACAGGAGAUGUAGGUUUGAUCCCUAGGUCAGGAAGAUCCCCUGUAUAGGACAUGGCAACACACUCCAGUAUGCCUGCCCGAAAAAUCCUGUGGACAAAGGAGCCUGGUGGGCUAUGGUCCGAAGGGUUGCAAAGAUUUGGACACAACUGAAUAACUGAGCACAUAGUUUAAGUACUGCCAGCAUGACUGAUUUCGAGCUACCAGUGUGAUACCACAGAGCAUGUAGUUGGAAAGAGACAGGCAUAAAUGACCAAUGGGCUCCAGCAUAGCAUCGCUUCCAGACUUACUCCUUAGGAGAUAUGUCAGCUUCCAUUUUUGCUUUCUUGGAAUCCAGCUGACGUGAAGGAUCCUUGGGCUAGGCUCCUGAGAGGCCAAAUGGAAAGAAAGGCCAUGUGGAGAAGAAAAGAAGCCUUAGGCGAUCCAUCCCUGGCUGGGCUCCCAGCUGAAUGCAGCUGCAUACGUGGCCUCAGCCAACAUUCCAUGACAUGUAAGACCAUGCAGCCAACUCACAGAAAUGUGAGACACAAUACAUUGUUGUAGACUUAAGCCACUACAUUUUGGGAUAUUUUAAUUAGUCAGCAAUAGGUAACUGGACACAUGUAUGGCCAAGCCAUUGUAAAACAAUUUUUUACAUUUUACUCCUAUGUUAGCAAUGUGGUUCAGCUGGUAAAGAAUCCAUCUGCAAUGCGGGAGACCUGGGAUCAAUCCCUGGAUUGGGAAGAUCCCCUGGAGAAGGGAAAGGCUACCCACUCCAAUAUUUUGGCCUGGAGAAUUCCAUAGACUGUAUAGUCCGUGGGGUCUCACAGAGUCGGACAUGUUUAAGCAACUUUCAUUUUCACUAGCAAUGUACAAGAGUGCCUUGUUCUUUGCACAUCAGCCUGUACUUCGUAUUAUCAUCACCAGGUUGAAACGUUAAAAAAUGUACUUUGCAGUUUAGCUUGUAUUCUUUGAAAAUGAAUUUGAACAGUUUUUCAGAUACUUAUUGGCCAUAAAUUGGCUGUGCUCUCUGUCCAUUUUUCUGUUGAUUUGUAAGGGCUCUUUAUAUUUUAAUAGGGCUUCUCAGGUGGCUCAAUGGUAAAUUAUCUGCCUGCAGUGUGGAAGACACAGGUUUGAUACCUGGGUCAGGAAUAUCCCCUGGAGAAGGAAAUGGCAACCCACUGUAGUAUUGUUGCCUGGGAAAUACCAAGGGCAGAGCAGCCUGGCAGGCUAUAGCGCAUGGGAUCACAAAAGAAUCAGACAUGACUUAGCGAAUAAACAAAAACAAUAUAGUUGGCUAACAAUUUCGUGUAUAGUGAAAACAAAUGGACGAUAAUUUGCAAUGUAUGUGGCUACCUGGUUUGCUUGUAUGCUCUUUGCAGUAAAAAGCUUAAACUAUGUAUAUGAAAAAAUGAUGCCUAUGGCAAUUUUCUGCAAGUUUCUUAUAACAUGAUCAUUUUCAGUUUUGGCUUAUUUGUUUUUUUUAGUAUUUCUCACUGUAUUCUAAUA